AUAGCAUAUGGUUCAGUA
rnacentral:snRNA from 1 species